rnacentral:rRNA from 1 species
UACGUAGGGGGCAAGCGUUGUUCGGAAUUACUGGGCGUAAAGGGCGCGUAGGCGGCCUUCUAAGUCGAACGUGAAAUCCCCGGGCUCAACCCGGGAACUGCGUCCGAUACUGGAAGGCUUGAAUCCGGGAGAGGGAUGCGGAAUUCCAGGUGUAGCGGUGAAAUGCGUAGAUAUCUGGAGGAACACCUGUGGCGAAGGCGGCAUCCUGGACCGGCAUUGACGCUGAGGCGCGAAAGCCAGGGGAGCAAACGGG